rnacentral:rRNA from 1 species
CCUACGGGGGGCAGCAGUGAGGAAUAUUGGUCAAUGGCCGUAAGGCUGAACCAGCCAAGCCGCGUGAAGGAAGAAGGAUCCAUGGUUUGUAAACUUCUUUUAUAGGGGAAUAAAGGUAUCCACGUGUGGAUAUCUGAAUGUACUUUAUGAAUAAGCAUCGGCUAACUCCGUGCCAGCAGCCGCGGUAAUACGGAGGAUGCGAGCGUUAUCCGGAUUUAUUGGGUUUAAAGGGUGCGUAGGUGGGAUUUUAAGUCAGCGGUGAAAGCUUGUGGCUCAACCCUAAAAUUGCCGUUGAAACUGGAAGACUUGAGUGUGUGAGAGGUAGGCGGAAUGCGUGGUGUAGCGGUGAAAUGCAUAGAUAUCACGCAGAACUCCGAUUGCGAAGGCAGCUUACUA